GAUGAACGCUGGCGGCGUGCCUAAAUACAUGCAAAGUCGAAACGAGGUGCUUUUGUAGCAAUACGAGAGUAUCCUAGUGGCGAACGGGUGAGUAACGCGUUGGUGACCUACCCCAAAGUGUGGGAUAACAGUCCGAAAGGAUUGCUAAUACCGCAUGUGGUCUUCAGGUUUAGAAACUGAUGACUAAAGGAGCAAUUCGCUUUGGGAGGGACCUGCGUCCCAUCAGCUAGUUGGUGAGGUAAUGGCUCACCAAGGCGACGACGGGUAGGGGACCUGAGAGGGUGACCCCCCACAAUGGAACUGAAACACGGUCCAUACACCUACGGGUGGCAGCAGUAGGGAAUAUUGCACAAUGGGCGAAAGCCUGAUGCAGCAACGCCGCGUGCACGAUGAAGGCCUUCGGGUCGUAAAGUGCUUUUCUGGGAGAUGAGAAAGGACAGUAUCCCAGGAAUAAGGUCUCGGGCUAACUACGUGCCCAGCAGCCGCGGUAA
rnacentral:rRNA from 1 species